rnacentral:rRNA from 1 species
UCAGGACGAACGCUGGCGGCGUGCCUAAUACAUGCAAGUCGAACGGUCUUUCUAUGGAAGCUUGCUUCCACUGAGAAGAUAGUGGCGAACGGGUGAGUAACACGUGGGUAACCUGCCCAUAAGAGGGGGGAUAACAUCCGGAAACGGGUGCUAAUACCGCAUAGUUUUCUUGAUCGCAUGAUUGAGAAAGGAAAGACGGCCUUUGUGCUGUCGCUUAUGGAUGGACCCGCGGCGUAUUAGUUAGUUGGUGAGGUAACGGCUCACCAAGACGAUGAUACGUAGCCGACCUGAGAGGGUGAUCGGCCACAUUGGGACUGAGACACGGCCCAAACUCCUACGGGAGGCAGCGGUAGGGAAUCUUCCGCAAUGGACGAAAGUCUGACGGAGCAACGCCGCGUGAGUGAAGAAAGGUUUUCGGAUCGUAAAACUCUGUUGUCAGAGAAGAACAAGUUGGAGAGUAACUGCUCCAGCCUUGACGGUAUCUGACCAGAAAGCCACGGCUAACUACGUGCCAGCCGCCGC